ensembl:lncRNA
CAGCAUGCCAGGCCUCCCUGUACUCCACUAUCUUCUGGAGUUUGCUCAAGUUCAUGUCCAAUGAGUCGGUGAUGCUAUCCAACCAUCUCAUCCUCUGCUGCCCUGUUCUUUUGCUUUUGAUCUUUCCCAGCAUCAGGGUCUUUUCUUUUCACAACAGGUGGCCAAAGUAUUGGAACUUCACCAUUAGUACUUCCAAUGAAUAUUCAGGUUGAUUCUUUAAUAAAAUGUUUCAAGUAACUAUUGAGGAGCAGCAAUUUAACCUUCGAGAAACUCUGGAGUCAGAUUUAGGAAAAAAGAGAUGAAAGUUCUCUAAAAGACCCAUAAUAUUUCCAUAACAUUAAGGCAAUAUAGACUGACAUUGCUUUAACAACGAAAUUCAAAGGGCAAAAGAUGCUCCAAGUGCUAAUGAGGAGGAGUGAUAUUGCAAGUUUUGUUAUCUGAAAAUAUCUUUUUACUUACUGGUAAAUAGUGGACAUUUUGAGCCUGUUUAGGUACAGACUUGGAAGUUAAUCUUCCUAUAAUGCAUCAGAUGUCUUUCCUUUGCCCCAGUAGGAACUUAAGCAUUGCUUGAUUGUUGCACUUUUUAUGUUCUAAUAUCAUUGCCAGCCUAAUAGUUCAUCUACUAUAGAGCCUUUGGUCAGUGUUGGCUCUCAGUAAAUGUCUGUUGGAAGAACUAGUUGAUGGAAUUAGUGGAGUGAAGAGCUUGGGAAUUUGGAAAUGAGCCAUGACUUUUCUAAUCAGAUUCUUUACUCAGUGUAGAGUUCUUUGAGCCUUGUUUCCAAUCAUCUAAUAGCUCAGGGAAUCCUAUCAAAUUUUUUUAAUCCUUCCAAGGAGCAUUUGGUUGGACUGCUGCUGCUGCUAAGUCGCUUCAGUUGUGUUCGACUCUGUGUGACCCCAUAGACAGCAGCCCUGUCUCUGGGUUUCUCCAGGCAAGAACACUUGCAUGAAAGUGAAAAGUGAAAGUGAAGUUGCUCAGUAUUGCCCGACUCUUAGCGACCCCAUGGACUGCAGCCCACCAGGCUCCUCCGUCCAUCGGAUUUUCCAGGCAAGAGUACUGGAGUGGGGUGCCAUCGCUGUCUCUAAGGUAUCUAUAAAUUACCGUGCCUUGCAUUGA